rnacentral:lncRNA from 1 species
UUAUGGCAUAUACCCAAUAAAGUAACAACGGCGCACAAUCAAAGUCAGAAAAACAUAUCACAUGCCUUUUUUCUUAACAAAGUACAAUCGAAGUUGCUCACAUACACUCAUCUUUAUGAACGCGCACACACACUCUAUCCCUAUGAGUACCCUUGAGAGACUGAGUUGACACAUUAUCUUGAGAUUGACGAAGUGGCCAUACACCUUCAUAGUUGACGCGUCUCCUCCCACUGAGCGCACAUCAUCAGAAGGCCUGAAAUAAAUUUAGAAAAAUGCAAGUAUCAAUGUCAAAUAUGGGACUUCAACUCUAAUGGGCAAAAGAUACCUCCUAACCAUCCAACCACAUUUGCACACAUUCCAUGCCUUCGGAUAUGACUUUCGAAUCACUACUGUGCAUAAACCUAAUUCAAGUCCACAUCUGAAUCUGUUGAGGACUGCAUGUGGUCGGUACCUCUCCAGCAUUGUGCCCCGGUCGCCCAACCCUCUUAUCCACCUCCCUUGGCCCCUCCUCCCAUCGCCAUGUUGCUUCACGCCGUCAUAGGGUUCCUUGCAGGUUGUCCACCCUAUUCUCUAUUGUCGCCCCGCCUUUCCCUUCUUUUUUAGCAACACACCUGGCUGACUCAACAAAAGCAUAAUAUGGUAAAUAUUGUAAAUCCACUAGACAGAGCAUGUGACGUCAACUCAAUAUUUAGGAAAAUAAAUAUGUUGAACCAUACUUUGGUGUCUGUGCUGCUGCAGUUGCAAGUUUUUUUCGCCCACAUGGAAUUGAACUAUUAACAUAGUACUCCCUCCGGUCCUUUUUAGUUCGCAUAUAAGAUUUGUUUGAAGUCAAACCUCGUAAACUUUGACCAAGUUUAUAGAAAAAAAUAC